rnacentral:sRNA from 1 species
UCCGGUGCAGAGGCGGCGGCUGCGGCACGGAAAAGGCUCUGUGACUGAAGCUCCAAAGGCCAGCAGGCUGGUGGGGACGUGACCGAAGCGAGGCUCUAGUUCCCUUUCGAUGGGCGCCAGUUGAGCCUCGCCUCUGGCUUCCCCAGGAUGCGCCGGCAGCUGGGGAGCGGCUGCGGGCGCGAGGCCUGAGGAUGAUCUUUCCUGUCGUCCGCUACGCGCUCCGGUGGCUGCGACGGCCCGAAGACCGUGCCUUUUCCCGCGCCGCCAUGGAGGUGGCCCUCCGAGGCGUGCGGAAAGUCCUCUGUGUGGCCGAAAAAAACGACGCGGCCAAGGGGAUCGCCGACCUGCUGUCAAACGGUCGCAUGAAGCGGAGAGAAGGACUUUCAAAAUUCAACAAGAUCUAUGAAUUUGAUUAUCACCUGUAUGGCCAGAAUGUUACCAUGGUAAUGACUUCGGUUUCUGGACAUUUACUGGCUCAUGAUUUCCAGAUGCAGUUUCGAAAAUGGUCAGUACAAUUCUCAAGGGAAGGACUUUCAGAUUAUAGCUGGAGUGCAGUGGCGCAGUCUUGACUCAUUGCAACCUCCGCCU